rnacentral:rRNA from 1 species
GACGUAGGGGCCGAGCGUUGUCCGGAGUUACUGGGCGUAAAGGGCGCGUAGGCGGUCAGUGCAAUUCAGUUGUGAAAUCUCCGGGCUUAACUCGGAACGGUCAACUGAUACUGCUCGACUAGAGUGCGGAAGGGGCAACUGGAAUUCUUGGUGUAGCGGUGAAAUGCGUAGAUAUCAAGAGGAACACCUGCGGCGAAGGCGGGUUGCUGGGCCGACACUGACGCUGAGUGCGCGAAAGCCAGGGGAGCGAACGGG